rnacentral:rRNA from 1 species
UACGUAGACCACAAGCGUUAUCCGGAUUUAUUGGGCGUAAAGCGCGUGUAGGAGGUUCGGUGCGUCUCUGGUUAAAGCCCACCGCCUAACGGUGGAAGUGCCGGAGAUACGAUCGAACUGGAGGAUGUGAGAGGUGCAUGGAACGCACGGUGUAGGGGUAAUAUCCGUUGAUAUCGUGCGGAACACCAAAGGCGAAGGCAGUGCACUGGUACAUUCCUGACUCUGAGACGCGAAAGCGUGGGGAGCAAAAAGG